rnacentral:misc_RNA from 1 species
CUCCUCGUUGCCUGUGGAGACUAAGGCACUUGAAAAGCAGCAAACAGUUGUGGCAUCUCAUUUCUCGCGAUCUUUCAGGAAGCACUUCUCCCAGAAAAUUACAAAAAGUGAAGCAGAAAAUGCUUACCAGAAUUCUCCAAAGGUUUGCUCCCAACAAUCAAUUUCACCAAUUUCAGAGCCAUGCUUUGACAAAAUCUCUUCCAGUGAAGAAGCUAGUGCUUCUACCUCAUCCCUAACCAGAAUACCAUUCAAAUCAACUGACGAUGACAAAUGUUCAGCAAUUUGUGAUUCUUCGGUUGGUGUGCCUACGUCUUGCCUCCCUGCAACUCCUUGCAAAGAGAUAAACUGCACAAACUAUAGAGAUUAUUCACCCAAAAAGAUAGAUGGCUUCCAGACAACUCCUGCAAAACUUGCUUCGCCUUCUACACUAAUGUCAAUGACACCUGCAUUGCAUCCACCAAAAAGAUGUUAUAUGAGCCCAGAUGAUGAUACCACUGUCUUAGCAGACAAGCUCACAAGGCGUCCAUCACGAACCAGGUCUCUAAAAUUUGAAACUCCUGUGAAGAAUGUUGGGGAUGAACUUAAUGAUAUGGAGGAUGUGUCAGCUGAUGAUGAUGAUGAUAUUUUGAAUAUUCUCCCUUUGAGUCUUCUGCAAUCAAUAAGAGAAAAAGAAAGGAAGGCCCAAGAAGAGCGAGAUCCUGCAGUCUCACAAGCAAAGAAGCGGCGACAGAUGAUUGCCUGCCUGCCAAAGCUCUUCAACAUGAUUCAUUUCUUGUUUCAGUCAAUAAAACGAUCAGUGAUCACAAAAGAGGAGCUUAUACACAAGAUAAUUGCAAGUCAUUCUGAUAUUGUUGAUAGAAGAGAAGUUGAAGAGCAGCUAAAAUUGCUGCUUGAGCUAGUUCCCGAAUGGAUCUCUGAGAAAUUGGCGUCUGGUGGGGAUUUACUCUUCUGCAUCAACAAACUGUCAAGCCCUG